AAAUUGAAGAGUUUGAUCAUGGCUCAGAUUGAACGCUGGCGGCAGGCCUAACACAUGCAAGUCGAGCGGUAGCACAGGAGAGCUUGCUCUCUGGGUGACGAGCGGCGGACGGGUGAGUAAUGUCUGGGAAACUGCCUGAUGGAGGGGGGAUAACUACUGGAAACGGUAGCUAAUACCGCAUAACCUCGCAAGAGCAAAGAGGGGGGACCUUCGGGCCUCUCGCCAUCAGAUGUGCCCAGAUGGGAUUAGCUAGUAGGUGAGGUAAUGGCUCACCUAGGCGACGAUCCCUAGCUGGUCUGAGAGGAUGACCAGCCACACUGGAACUGAGACACGGUCCAGACUCCUACGGGAGGCAGCAGUGGGGAAUAUUGCACAAUGGGCGCAAGCCUGAUGCAGCCAUGCCGCGUGUGUGAAGAAGGCCUUCGGGUUGUAAAGCACUUUCAGCGGGGAGGAAGGCGGUAAGGUUAAUAACCUUAUCGAUUGACGUUACCCGCAGAAGAAGCACCGGCUAACUCCGUGCCAGCAGCCGCGGUAAUACGGAGGGUGCAAGCGUUAAUCGGAAUGACUGGGCGUAAAGCGCACGCAGGCGGUCUGUUAAGUUGGAUGUGAAAUCCCCGGGCUUAACCUGGGAACUGCAUUCAAAACUGACAGGCUAGAGUCUUGUAGAGGGGGGUAGAAUUCCAGGUGUAGCGGUGAAAUGCGUAGAGAUCUGGAGGAAUACCGGUGGCGAAGGCGGCCCCCCUGGACAAAGACUGACGCUCAGGUGCGAAAGCGUGGGGAGCAAACAGGAUUAGAUACCCUGGUAGUCCACGCUGUAAACGAUGUCGACUUGGAGGUUGUGCCCUUGAGGCGUGGCUUCCGGAGCUAACGCGUUAAGUCGACCGCCUGGGGAGUACGGCCGCAAGGUUAAAACUCAAAUGAAUUGACGGGGGGCCCGCACAAGCGGUGGAGCAUGUGGUUUAAUUCGAUGCAACGCGAAGAACCUUACCUACUCUUGACAUCCAGAGAAUUUGCUAGAGAUAGCUUAGUGCCUUCGGGAACUCUGAGACAGGUGCUGCAUGGCUGUCGUCAGCUCGUGUUGUGAAAUGUUGGGUUAAGUCCCGCAACGAGCGCAACCCUUAUCCUUUGUUGCCAGCGAUUCGGUCGGGAACUCAAAGGAGACUGCCGGUGAUAAACCGGAGGAAGGUGGGGAUGACGUCAAGUCAUCAUGGCCCUUACGAGUAGGGCUACACACGUGCUACAAUGGCGUAUACAAAGAGAAGCGACCUCGCGAGAGUAAGCGGACCUCAUAAAGUACGUCGUAGUCCGGAUUGGAGUCUGCAACUCGACUCCAUGAAGUCGGAAUCGCUAGUAAUCGUAGAUCAGAAUGCUACGGUGAAUACGUUCCCGGGCCUUGUACACACCGCCCGUCACACCAUGGGAGUGGGUUGCAAAAGAAGUAGGUAGCUUAACCUUCGGGAGGGCGCUUACCACUUUGUGAUUCAUGACUGGGGUGAAGUCGUAACAAGGUAACCGUAGGGGAACCUGCGGUUGGAUCACCUCCUUA
rnacentral:rRNA from 1 species